AUAAAUAAGCUUGCCCUUCUACUCUUGCAUCAAAUAUGCAUGUCUUCAACCUCGCAAUUGGGCAACAUGCCGUGUUUUGCGGUAAAUAAGCACCUCAUUAAGAUGCAAUGACCCCUCCAUGCCUAUAUUUUCGCACAUGAACUAAUCGCUAAUCAAUUCUACGUUCCCAUCAUAUGCCAUAUUGAGAAUAUUAAUUUUUCAUGGAAAGGAUGCAGUAUUUCUUUUUAUUAUAGCUUAAACAAAAUUCACAUGUUUGGAUUCUAUGUUAGUUCUAUAAUAUAUACCUUCAUAAAUGUGCGAUAAUUAUCUAUCAAUGGGGGUGCAAUAAAAAUCAUGCAUGCUUGUGCACUAAAUGCAGUAUAAUAAUGCUGCAGGUUUCAACUCUUUCAUAUGAUAUCCAUCAUAAUGCUAGCUUGUGCGCAUUUACGACAAUUACAAAAAAGUAGAAGUGUUGACUAGUUGGCUAGAGAGAGAACUUUGCAUCUAACGACUUAUAUUUAGCUUCUCAUUACCGAGUUCCUUAACUUGUGGAUGGCUAAUAUAAGAAAAUAAAAAAUAUUCAAAUUUUUCAAAUAUCUAUUUUAGAAUUCUCAUAUCGAAGUUUUUUAUCUUAGAAUUGAAGAGAGGGGAUUAUAUCU
rnacentral:lncRNA from 1 species